UGGUGUUAUAUAUAUAUCAAUUCAACAAAAGUUUUACCUUCACCACCUUAACAAAUUCAAAGUAAAAAAGGCUGCAACCCAAAUAAAUUCACAUCUUUUAUUUCAAAUGUUAAAAUUCAGAAAAAAAAUUUCAAAUAAGAUGCAUUUUUUCAGCUUACACUUUUGUUCAAGCAGGUUUUGUCAUUGCAGUCAGCCCAUUGUGGAGCUGGGUAGUGAGUAGGUUGGUUCCCUCCUUAAACUAUUCAGUAAGCCUUUGGACUAUACAAAUAAUGGUCAGGUACCAGUCUUGGUAGAGUGUUGGUAUGACUUCUUAAUUGUAGUCAGAAGUGGGAUUCUAAAUUUUUAAUUAUAAAAAAAUAAUCUGGUGUAAGUUUGAAAAAUAAUAUUAUUUUAAAAUGGAUAAUUCUUUGCAUUUUGAUUUAAUUUUAUUUACUGUGCUCACCAAUAAAACAUUUGGUUGAGGCAAACUUAAGUUACAGAAUGGAAACGAAAUAUUCAUUGAUUUUUGUAUUUGUAAAAGCGGCAUAACUCUAGAAAAGUAACAGUGACACCACCAAAAUUCAACCUUGAUUUGUGUUAUGUGGUUAUAAACAUUGUGCAUCAGUUUCAUAUCAUCAUUUGAGGCAAACCUAAGUUAGAGAACAGAAAGAAAAAAAUAGUUAUUUUUCAAUUUGUAAAGGGGGAUAACUCUCAAACAGAAAAAUUGAUGUCACAAAUAUUCAAACUUGAUCUGUUUUGAGGUAAUUAGCAGUGUGUAUUAAUUUCAUAUUUUGUUGAGGUAAACUAUAGCUAGAGAACAGAAAUGAAAACUGCUGAAAUUUUCCAUUUGUAAAAGAGCAUAUUAACUCUAGAGCACUAUAAUUAGGGCCACCAAAAUUCAAUCUUGAUAUGUUUUUGUGGUAAUACACAUUGUGUAUAAGUUGAGAUAGGGGUCAUAAACAAGUUGUAGUAGGGGGUCUGUCAAUUCACUUAGAAUCGAAUGCAUUAUGAGUAAUAUGGUAAUAUUUACAAAAACGUACACCAAACCGUCGUGAUUGUAUUAAACAAUGAAAAUUAAACCAAUGACGUAACGUUAUUUUCAUUUUGGUGUACGAACAAUGAGAUUACCCAUAGUUCUUUAGAUUCUAAAAACGUGAAUGACA
rnacentral:lncRNA from 1 species